GCCGCAUUACAACAGACAGAUGUAUAAAAAAAUUAUUGCUUUCUUGUGCCCAAAACAUAAUCUAAUUCUAAAAUGACAUCCAAGAACUAUAGUGAAUGACAAAGCAACAUUGUCGCAGGGCGGAUGCCGGUAGCUAUAUCGACCAAAGAGAGCUGUGGCUGGGAUGAACCCCCUCUCAAUGUGGAUCCAAGAUAUUUUACACAUGUGCUGCGGUUGGAGCUCUCAACGGGCUCCUCAUAGGACUAUCCGAGACCAAAGACAUGGCUUGGUCUAAGCCACGUAAUGUACAGUCAAUCCCCCGUCUUUGCACAAAUGAAUGGUCUUUUGGAGGCCGUGAUUAAAUUGGAUCUCCUUCACAAGUUAUUUCUGGAUUUGAAAGACAAAGCAGAUUAAGAGUUCCUAAAUCUGGUGACCCUCCAAGGAGCGACAUGGGCGAACACACUUGGCUCACUGGCUUUGAUGUACAGUGUGUUUGGGGGUGGCCAUCGAGAAGGCACGGUUAGCAGAGGAUGACAUCAACACUGUUGCUGCUGGGAUUAUGACAGGCAUGCUGUACAAGUCCACAGGCUGGUAGAGGGUGUGUACGUGGACCAGCGCGAGGGGGCCUGGCUCUGUCAGCUCUCUGUAUAACAACUGAGACCAACUGAAGGGAAACCCUCCCACCCGCUACUGAGCCCGGCAUGGAACAUGGACCAGUCAAAACAUUUCCCCAAAUAUCUUGAUACCUUUGUAGACAUAUCCUCCCUUUCCAUAAUAACUUCUUGUCCCUGAGUUAGGCCCCUAAGGUUGCAUUGAAGGGUGGCCAGGUCUGGAAGAUGUCAAGUGUUAGACCUAAUUUAUGCUGUAAUGCACAUCAACACUGCACAUUGUAUCAAUUUGUUGCUGGUGUUAGGAUUCAUUGCUGUGAAUAUCUGAUCAACUGCCUCUGCACAGCUUUUUCCUAAAUUGCACUAAAUGUCACAUUGAAUCAGUUUUGAGUUGAAUGUUGCAAAGAUUGAAUGCUGUCUUACUGAAGUGAAAGGGUGGACUUUCUUCCUAUGGAUGUCUACAUAAGUAUCUCAUUCCACAACUUUGCAUGUGGUAAUUUUCAAAUGUUUGCUUUAUGCCAAGAGAAUGUUACUGUUAAUUGUAUUAAAGACAAGUCACAGUUUGGUAAACUUA